UACCUUCCACUGUGAGAGUUACCCGAAGCUCGGCGUCCGUGUUGGUCUAAGGGGCUUCCUAGGCGAUCGGGCAGUGUCUGUCUUCAGCCGCUAAGCCGAGAAGAUCUGGGAAGGAGUCAGUCAGAGAGCCUUGGGACAGAGUUCCAGGGGAUCUGGGAGUGGCUGCCAGUUGUGCUAUGAAACAUUUUCUCAGACUUCAAUUCAGCCUCAAUUUUUACAAUGGAAACUACUGGAAUAAUAGCUAAGUUGUGUUUUCUGCACUGGGGUGUGUUGAUCAAGUUCACCUUUGAUGUUCUUCUUAAAUGGAUAACCUUCUCACAGGCAUUUAGUGGGAAGGCCUCUUUCACAGCAUAAUCUACCCCUGGAUUAGACACCCUUGCAAGGAGAGAACAUGAUCAUUGCCUGUAAAAGUUUACCAGUGUCACCUGAGAUCAUGAGCAUCCUGAAGGCAGGGGUCCUGUCUCAGCCACAUCUGUAUAUUCAGAGACUGGCACCAUGCCUGGUUAAUAGAAGGCAGGUGCAGGAUGAAGCAGGAAACCUGCCAAGAAAGAUGAUAAAUUACCAUUUGGUGCUAGCGACCAGAGCUCUACAAGUACAGGGCUGCCAGGAACUGUGAGGGAGAGUAACCACAAACAAGGAGGGAAAUGACUUCUGAUGACAACUUCAGAGAUGUUUACUUUUUGUCUUCAUUAUCUUUGUAGUGUUUUAAGGAUCUCUGUUCAUUUUGUAACCUACAAAAUGAAGUGCUAUUUUAAAACAAUCAUAUACUGGCUCAAAAUAUUCUAUUACAUCUGCUGAGGUCAAAUUUAAAAAUUAGAGUUUAGAGGGAGCUGUUCAGAGGAAGGAAGCGGAUGACGUAAGUAGACAAAUGACAUAAAGCAGAGGUGAAAUGUGGCUGCAGCUUCAUUUGAGGGAGCACCUGGGCUCAACUCGGAGGAAGCACUCUGCCCCAGAUCAAUCGCAUUGACAGGGCCAUACUCAUAUUGU
rnacentral:lncRNA from 1 species